CAAUCUCUCGCCCUCUUACCCCGCAUCUUCUUGUCCUGCUUCUCAUUUUGCAGGUGAGGAAAGUGAGGCUGAGCGGUCCCUGAGCCAGCGGGAAGCAGAGCUGGGACUGACACAGACCAUCCGACCCCAGAGCUUCCUGGGAGUGUGAUCCAGCAUGACGAACGUGGCACUGACCGAGGAGUGCGGAGGCCUGGCUUCCAGCAGGCCUCACCCCUGCAAGAAGCAACGCUCCACCAAGUUUGUGCUGAAGCUGUACUGGUUCUGGAACAUUGGCCAACUUCCUCGGGAGUGCGGGAGAGCUGGAUUUGUCCCUGGCCAGGUGGUUGCCGACUGUGUGCAGUGCAAGCUGUUUGCACCUCCCCAUCUCCUGCCAGGGCUUUGGACGGGAGGAGUGUUGGACAAGUGUCGGAGGGCUGUGAGCAAGAGAAACAUCCAAGCAGAAUCUCAGGUGAGAGACUGGGAACCCAGAACCUGCCGUCCUUGGAGGGUUCCAGCAGAUGCCAGGAGAUUUCUUUGCUUUGGCUCCGAUCAUCUCCAGAAACAGGGCCGGCCGCGCAGCCAUUUCCUCCACCUUCUGGCCCAGGCUCUGAGCUCUGCUCCCAUGUCCCCUCUUCCUAACAAAGGCUUCCUCAGUAGAAAAGAGCUUGGACAUACAAUAUUUGCCAACAAAAGCAACCAUUGUAGCCCCAGGGAAGGGGGUUGGGGUAGAGAGCCAGGGAAAGGUUUUGCUCUCUGCUUGCCGAGACUGGCUCCAGGGAAGGCCUCAGCCCACAGUUCAUGAGUCAGGCUGCUGGGGUCCCAGCUGUAGUCUCUCCCUCUUGACUUACCAAGUCUAAGGCAGGAAGUAUGGGGUGGAGUCCAGGGAGAGCACUGCAAGUUCCUCUGGGAUGGCCCUGCAGAGGGAGAAAAUUAGCAAUCACAUGCCACGACUUUUCCCUUCUGUCGCCACAGGGCCCCCACUCUGCAGCUGGGAAAACUGAGCCCCUGAGAAGGGAGGCAGGCCAUUUAAUCCUGAGCUCAUCUGGCGGGUUUGCGGAGGGCCAGAAUGGAGACGGUUCACUGCCUCUCCUGCAAGUUCCCACUGACACAUGGACACCUCACACUCUUGCUUCAUCAGCCCUCACACACAAAACCACAGUCUGGCCCUUGACUUCACGGAUCUUAAAGAACCAGAAAGAGGAGAAAGGGAACUCUGUUCUUCCCAAACUUAAUAUAGAUCUGUUUGGUGGUGCCAUUUCAAAUAAUUGGAUGCUCUGAUGUUGCUUGGAAUAGAACACACUCUGCAUUUCCACAGGACUUUAAAGUUUACGUCUGUGACUCCUGUGAUCCUCACCAUUUCCCCUUUGACAGAUGAGGUACUGCAGCCCAAAGGGGGAAAUGACUUGCCCUUGGUCACUUGGUCUGUACUGGCAGUCUAGCCUACAACAGCCUUCUGAUCCCUACCCUUGUCUCUCUCUCCUGCUCAGCACUAGAUUCUGGGUCCUGAUGCCAGCUCUGCUGCAAAUGAGCUGUGUGACCUGGGACAUGUCACCUCAGCUCUCUGAACCUCCUUCAUAAAUGUAUUGGCCCUCCAAAACCCUGAUGUCAUUUCAUUCAUUCCACAAGUGCUGCUUUCCAGGAGGCCCUGAGUCAGGUCCUGGAGCCGUGAGGAUGAAGAUUCCAGCUCUCUGCCCACAAAGUGGGACCAUAUUCAGAGCCCAGGGAGGGUGUGGACUGGGAAACCUCACGUGGAGAGAAGAGGGCAGGAACCCAAGUUCUCUUUCAGGGGACCCAGGGAUUCCCAAGAGAAGUCUGGUCAGAGAAUUUGCAUCCACAAGUUGGCCACCCUUUAAGAAAGCCCUCAACAAAAUGUCUGAACUCAAAAGAAAGAUUAGGGGUCUUUAUACACUUUACAGAAAGGUUCUUUACUCUGCAGUUCUUAAAAACAAAACAAAACAAACCAAAAAUAACAAAACUCCUUUCUCCAAUUCCCACCUCUGGAUUUACAGUGCAUUCGAAAAUUGUUAGGAACACAUUCACAGAGUAAAGCAGGAAAGGAAAGCAGGAGUUGGCCUGUUUGCCUGACUACUGAGCGGGUCUCAGCAGCAUUGCAAAACCAGCAGCCACUCUUAUCUCUUAGACUCAGUUUUUCCCACCUUAGGCUGUGUGGUGGGUACAUUGGUGCCAGGUGUGGAAGCAGAGAAUGGUUAUUUAUUGAACCUUACUAUGUGCUAUAAUUAACACCCAUUUCACAGACGAGGAAACCGAGGCUCAGAGCUAGGAUUUCAAUCAGGUCUGGCUGACUGUAACGCCAGGGCUCUCGGCUCACCUUGCUCAGCCCUGCUCUUGACUAAGACACAGAUCAGUCACUGCACUAGGGGGCCCAGGGAGCUGUAGUCUGCAAAAUGGGUAGAUUCAAGGGGCGGAAGAUUACUGGGGGCAUCAAGACCAUUAGGAGAGAAAGGAGACACUCUCUUGGGGCGGGGGGUGGGGGUGGGGUGGUGCUCACCAUCUCGCCAUCCGAAGGCAGUGGGGACAUCCCAUCAGCCCAGGAGCUCUGGAAACUGGGCCCUGCAGUCAAGUAAAGGGUGGUGGGGCGGAGGAGCCUAGGAAAGUAAGGGCCAUCACUCCCGGGGAGCCCAUGAGUCUGAGGGGACACUCGCCCAGGGAGCCCGAAGUCCCAGCUCGGGCUCCGCGUGGCACUUCCGAUCCGCGCCCUGCGCCCCGCCCACGGGCGCUCGGAGCCCCCAGCUCCGACCUGCGCCCGGCCCCGCCCCGCCAGUGUGCCCACCCCCGGCCCGCCCCGCGGUCCACUUGCUCGGCUCCCGCAGCGUAGCGGAGCGUCAAGGCGCUGGCGGAUUGACCCGCCAGCAGUUGGCAGUGGGGGCGCUGGCGCGUCGGCCGCUCCGCUGUCCCGCCGGCAACCUCGGGCUCCCGGAGCCAGCGGUCCAGACGGCGGCGCCGCGCGGGGGGCCGGGAUCGGGCGGCUGGAGGCUGCGAGGCGGGAGGCGGCGGAGGAGGCGGAGGCCGGCCGGAGCCCCGAGCGCGCCCCAGUCUCGCUCGCAGCCCGGAGCUCGGGGCUCGGCGCCCUCCCGGC
ensembl:lncRNA